AUAAAGGCAUCAGGAAGGGGUUUAACAGCAACCCAUUUUCCAUCUUUCUUAAUUUGGAGAUCAUCCAUCUCAUUGAUUUGGAGGAGGAUGGUGAGUACGGAGCCAUCAGAAUGAGGCUUAAAGCCAGGAACUUGCUCUGGUUGCGGACAAGGAGGAUAAUAAUUCAUCCUUAAUGAUUGCAUCCCGUUUUCAGACAACUCUAUCAUGUCAUUGGGAUCCAUUCUUAGAGCUUUAGCCAUUAGGUCAAGGAUUUUCAAGGUAAGAUUUUUAAGUUCCGUUAAGUAAACUUCCAAGUCAUCUCUGCAUGCAAAUAACGAUAUAUAGUCCAGUAAUUAUCAUAUGAUAGAAUAUACUAUGUAGCAAAACUCUACGAUUUAAAUAUAGAACCUGAAUGGGAGAGGCAACUUGGGGAACAAGUGGGGUUUCCUCAGAUGGGUUGGGAGAGUGAACAUAGUAAAGCCGUAUCCCCAAUCAAGCUUCUGCUCCUCAGACGUAAUAAAAAGCUGCCCAAAUCCCUCAAUAUCCCCUGGCUGCUGCCAAAAUUUCUUUUUCUCAUCAAUUGGAAGAUUAAAGAAGUCUUGAAUCCUUCUUUCACUUUCUCCACCAAUGAACUGCUCACUCCAUGAUUCAUCAACUGCAUAUAUGCAGAUUAAAACAAGCUGUUCUUUCCAUACAUGGUUCUUAUAGGAAACUUAAAGCUCAGGAAAUAAAAUGAUUUUUAUGGAAAAUGCUAAAAACACCGAGAGCCGAAAGAACGCUAACAAAAGCAAUGAUUCAAGUAUUUUUAUUAUCUGAAUAUCACUGCUCAAUUAUUAUGUACCUGAAAGAAACCCCAGUCUUUACAUGCAUGCUCAAGCUUCUCAAGCUCUGAGUCAUCCCCAGAGAGCAGCCUGUGCAUGUCAAUGACUGGAAGUUGUCGUGUUGAAGAAUCGUCGUUGCGAAUCAGGGGAUGGUCUAUCUCAGCGCGAACAUAACGUGGAGGAACUGUGAUCAGUGGCUGAUUAUUUGCCAGCUCCAGAAUCGAAGGCUCCACCAGAGAACUCCCAAUAACUGUUGCUUUGGUCCCCAUAUUAUAUAGAUUUAGAUUAACUGAUUUCUAGCUAUUACCUUUUUGUUUCUUUUCUCUGCUGUAGACUCAGCUGGUCUGUGUUUUAACGAGAAAUUCAUGUAUAAAUAAUCCUCAGGAUGUACUGUACUGUAAUUGUGUGCUUUAAAAUAUCAAUUUUAAUAUGAAAAUUCGAGAGAAUUUUGACUUUUA
rnacentral:lncRNA from 1 species